UACGUAGGGGGCAAGCGUUGUCCGGAUUUAUUGGGCGUAAAGGGCGCGUAGGCGGCUCAUGAAGGCUGUGGUGAAAGUCCGGGGCUCAACCUCGGAUCGGCCGUGGCGACUCGUGGGCUGGAGCACUGUAGAGGCGGGUGGAAUUCCGGGUGUAGCGGUGGAAUGCGUAGAGAUCCGGAAGAACACCAGUGGCGAAGGCGGCCCGCUGGGCAGUGGCUGACGCUGAGGCGCGACAGGCGU
rnacentral:rRNA from 1 species